rnacentral:rRNA from 1 species
AACGUAGGAGACAAACGUUAUCCGGAGUUACUGGGCGUAAAGGGCGUGUAGGCGGUCUGUUAAGUCUGGCGUGAAAGCUCUCGGCUAAACCGGGAGAGGUCGUUGGAUACUGGCAGACUAGAGGACGGUAGAGGGUAGUGGAAUUCCCGGUGUAGCGGUGAAAUGCGUAGAUAUCGGGAGGAACAUCAGUGGCGAAGGCGGCUACCUGGCCCAAUACUGACACUCAGGUGCGACAGCGUGGGGAGCAAACAGG